AACGAACGCUGGCGGCGUGCCUAACACAUGCAAGUCGUGCGAGAAAGUUCCUUCGGGAGCGAGUAAAGCGGCGCACGGGUGAGUAACACGUAGGUAACCUGCCCCCCAGUCUGGAACAACUAGAGGAAACUCUAGCUAAUGCCGGAUGAGACCACGAUCCCUUCGGGGGUUGCGGCCAAAGAUGGCCUCUACUUGUAAGCCAUCGCUGAGGGAUGGGCCUGCGGGCCAUUAGCUUGUUGGUGAGGUAACGGCUCACCAAGGCUGUGAUGGCUAGCUGGUCUGAGAGGAUGACCAGCCACACUGGGACUGAGACACGGCCCAGACUCCUACGGGAGGCAGCAGUGGGGAAUAUUGCGCAAUGGGCGAAAGCCUGACGCAGCGACGCCGCGUGGGUGAUGAAGGCCUUCGGGUCGUAAAGCCCUGUCGCAGGGGAAGAAUAAGCAUCGGUAUAAUACGCCGGUGCCCUGACGGUACCCUGCAAGAAAGCACCGGCUAACUCCGUG
rnacentral:rRNA from 1 species